rnacentral:lncRNA from 1 species
AAUGGAUUUCGAUUCGACUCAUGCCAAAUCCUAUAGCUAGCCAUAGGAAUUUGGAUCUGUCAACUGUAUACAAAGAAAACUAUGAAACUGAUGCACUAUGUAAUUCUGCAAUUAGAGUGAUGUACUGGCUUUUUCAGAGAGGACUCCGACCAACUGGUGGUCAAAUCCAUCCAUCCACCAUAUCUCGAUGCCAUUUUAAGCACAAAUCAUCAGUUAGACAAUAACAACCUAAAGAGUGUGGAGAACUAAUUAACGCUACACUUUAGCAAGUUAAAUUAGUUUCAAAAGACGCAGAACAAAGAUCAACAAAGAAUGAAUACUAAACAGUUUAAAGCACACUGAAUAUAUGGAACCAACCAUGAACAACACAAAACCAAGUAAGACAUACGAACCAUACUAGUAAAGCAAACAUCCAUAUAUCUAUAAGGUAUCAGUAUUGAGCAGACAGACUACACAUAUGGUGAAGUAUGUUAUCCCUUCAAGUUUAUGACUAUAAGAUAGAAACAAAACGUACCUUAGUGCAAAAAUUAACUAGAGAAGAUAAGUAAGGGCCUGAAACUAGAUGAUGAGACUCAGAAUUCCAGCAAAGGAAACAAACAGCAGCAGAUGUUUUCCAACAAUUGACACAGCCUCUAAAUAGAAAAUAGGAAAAUUUCACCCCUCGAACUCGAACAACAGCUUUCAAAAGCGACGAACUUUACUUAAGUCAACUUCACUUGAACGAAAAUCAGAGAAGGAAAAUGGAACCCUUUUUUUUUUGAAAUUUCAGAUUUCUGAAGCAACUAAGAACAAACGAAAAACUGGAAAUUUUUUAGCAUUUUCUUUUAGAAGCGAGAUGAAGAGGGAAAUAAUAAAACCUAAGAAAACUCAGAACAAAACCUCUAUUUUUUUUUCUUCCUCUGAUUUUUUACCCUCGAAUUCUCCAAAAUUCUCCUCCUCAAAUCUCUGAAACCUCACUAUAUAUACUCGAUUCUCGAAGCUUCUCACCUCUUCUCCAAGAAAUCCCCAAAUUUUAUCCCAAAAUCCGAAAAAAACAUCAAAACCAACCUCACAUGGAACGAAACUUGGACAAAUGAAAGGCGUGGAUAUGAUUUCUCACAUCCAACCGCUCCUAUUUACCCGAGAUUCAUCCCCCGAAAUCAAGAGCGCGUGAAAAUGGAUAAAUGCUGAAAAUAUUCUGUCAGAGACGGUAUGCCACGUUGGAGAGAGAGGAGGAGACCAUGUGCGUUGAGUUUGGGGGACGAAUUCAUCCGAAAACUCAGAUGAGUUAAGCGAGCAGAAAACUCAGACGAGUUGAGCGAGCAGAAACGGGCUUGGGGGAAUAGCAGCGGCGUU